UAGAUUUCUCUUGGCGAGAAGAGUGCAAUGAGGAAGUACCGUCUUCUGUUGGCUCUGCUGCUUAUGGCACUUAUGGUGACCAUUUUCUCGGUGUCUGCCACCCAAGAGGCAAUGAAUGUGCCUGAGCCAAGGGUGGCUAUUAUUAACGUGGUUGCCAGGUGUCCGGAUGGCACAGUCCAAGUUGGCGCCUCCUGUCGAAAAGUACUAAAGGUGGAAACUUCAUAGGAUGUCAUCAAUAAAGAAAAUUACGAGAUGGAGGUCUGGUAUAAAAUUGAGAAAAGAAAACCAUGUACAUUAACAAAGACCAUUCUUCUGACGACUACUUAAUGGAAAAAGAUCAUUGUACACGAAGCAGUUUGAAGAAGAUUUUGGAAUGACGUUAUCUCAAUGCAUCUUGUAAAAUUUUUAACACAGUGUUUAGGAGAGAUAACCAUACUUGUUUUCAUAUCAUACGAACAAUUCACUGAUGGCAAUGUAAAAAUGUAUUUCUAUUAGGUAUUUUCAUUUUGCUGUUUCUAAGAGCUAAAAUAACAGAUUUUAAAAAUA